rnacentral:sRNA from 1 species
UGUGAUAGCCGGCGGGCGUUGCAUAGUCGGGG